GACGAACGCUGGCGGCGUGCUUAACACAUGCAAGUCGUACGGUAAGGCCCUUUCGGGGGUACACGAGUGGCGAACGGGUGAGUAACACGUGAGUAACCUGCCCACAACUUUGGGAUAACGCUAGGAAACUGGUGCUAAUACUGGAUAUGUGCUCCUGCUGCAUGGUGGGGGUUGGAAAGCUCCGGCGGUUGUGGAUGGACUCGCGGCCUAUCAGCUUGAUGGUGGGGUAGUGGCCUACCAAGGCGGCGACGGGUAGCCGGCCUGAGAGGGUGACCGGCCACAUUGGGACUGAGAUACGGCCCAGACUCCUACGGGAGGCAGCAGUGGGGAAUAUUGCACAAUGGGCGCAAGCCUGAUGCAGCAACGCCGCGUGCGGGAUGACGGCCUUCGGGUUGUAAACCGCUUUCAGCAGGGACGAAGCUUUUUGUGACGGUACCUGCAGAAGAAGCACCGGCUAACUACGUG
rnacentral:rRNA from 1 species